rnacentral:rRNA from 1 species
UGCCAGCCGCCGCGGUAAUACGAAGGUGGCAAGCGUUGUUCGGAAUCACUGGGCAUAAAGCGCGCGUAGGCGGCUUGGUCAGUCGGAUGUGAAAGCCCUCAGCUCAACUGAGGAACUGCGUCCGAAACUGCCAGGCUUGAGGUCUGGAGGGGAGAACGGAAUUCCUGGUGGAGCGGUGAAAUGCGUAGAGAUCAGGAGGAACGCCAGCGGCGAAAGCGGUUCUCUGGACAGAUUCUGACGCUGAGGUGCGAAAGCUAGGGGAGCAAACGGGAUUAGAUA